CUUCGAGGCGACCUGGCCGCCGGCCGCUCCUCCGCGCGCUGUUCCGCACUUGCUGCCCUCGCCCGGCCCGGGGCGCCGCUGCCAUGCGGCUGGCGCUGCUCUGGGCCCUGGGGCUCCUGGGCGCGGGCAGCCCUCUGCCUUCCUGGCCGCUCCCAAAUAUAGGUGGCACCGAGGAGCAGCAGGCAGAGUCAGAGAAGGCCCCGAGGGAGCCCUUGGAGCCCCAGGUCCUUCAGGACCUCAAAAAGGUGCUUCAGAGAGUUGGUCCCAGGCCGUCCAACCCUGGUGUGGUACCAGCCCGAUGGCACUCGGGUGGUCAGUGAGGGACACACUCUG
rnacentral:sRNA from 1 species